UACAGGGGGGGCAAGCGUUGUUCGGAAUUACUGGGCGUAAAGGGCUCGUAGGUGGCCAACUAAGUCAGACGUGAAAUCCCUCAGCUUAACUGGGGAACUGCGUCUGAUACUGGAUGGCUUGAGUUUGGGAGAGGGAUGCGGAAUUCCAGGUGUAGCGGUGAAAUGCGUAGAUAUCUGGAGGAACACCGGUGGCGAAGGCGGCAUCCUGGACCAACACUGACACUGAGGAGCGAAAGCCAGGGGAGUAAACGGG
rnacentral:rRNA from 1 species